GACUCUUAUAUACGGUAAUCAUUAUUUCUUUUCUUUGUAAUUCACUUGUGAGGUUAUAUAUCUGUGUCUGGUUCUAUAAUGAUUAGAUCUCCAGGUUUUGUGGGUGGAAGUUGCUUUUUUCUUUCUUGGUGUGAACAAUUGUUGUUUUGGUUAUUUGCCUAUAGAUGAUAUUAUGAUAAUGAAUAAGUAGAACAGAGAGAGGUUUUUGCUGAGUGACAAUUCUGCGUCUCAUCCAAAUUUUUUUUUUUCAAUUAAUUCAAUAAACGUACUCUUUUUUGGAUUAAAUUUGAUAAUUAAAGUUGACAAUUCAUUUGAUAUCAAGUAAUUCAUUUUAAAGAUUGAUUUGGGUUAAAUAUAUACAUUGGGUUAAAUGCCUGUGGAUGGAUUUCCCUUUAUAUGUAUAUUUAUCAUCUUUAUUCCUU
rnacentral:misc_RNA from 1 species